rnacentral:rRNA from 1 species
UACAGAGGUCCCAAGCGUUGCUCGGAAUCACUGGGCGUAAAGCGCACGUAGGCGGAUCUUUAAGUCAGGGGUGAAAUCCUGGAGCUCAACUCCAGAACUGCCUUUGAUACUGGGGAUCUCGAGUCCGGAAGAGGUGAGUGGAACUCCGAGUGUAGAGGUGAAAUUCGUAGAUAUUCGGAAGAACACCAGUGGCGAAGGCGACUCGCUGGACAAGUAUUGACGCUGAGGUGCGAAAGCGUGGGGAGCAAACAGGG